rnacentral:rRNA from 1 species
CACUUAGAUGUUCUGGGCCGCACGCGUGCUACACUGAGUGGAUCAGCGGGUCAGGUUGCGCGAAAGUGUUUCCUAAUCUUGAAAUCCGCUCGUGAUGGGGAUUGACGGUUGCAAUUUUCCGUCAUGAACGAGGAAUACCUUGUAAGCGCGGGUCAUCAUCCCGCGCUGAAUACGUCCCUGCCCUUUGUACACACCGCCCGUCGCUCCUACCGAUUGAGUGGUCCGGUGAGGCUUUGGGAUCUGAGCAAAAAGAGCGUUUCGCUCGUUUGGCUCGGAAAACUCAGUCGAACCUUAUCAUUUAGAGGAAGGAGAAGUCGUAACA